AGCGAACGCUGGCGGCAGGCUUAACACAUGCAAGUCGAGCGGGCAUCCUUGUGGUGUCAGCGGCAGACGGGCGAGUAACGCGUGGGAACGUGCCCUUCGGUUCGGAAUAACUCAGGGAAACUUGAGCUAAUACCGGAUACGUGCUAGAACAGCAAGGUUUAUCUGCCGCAGGGUCGGCCCGCGUCUGAUUAGCUAGUUGGUGAGGUUACGGCUCACCAAGGCGACGAUCAGUAGCUGGUCAGAGAGGAUGAUCAGCCACACUGGGACUGAGACACGGCCCAGACUCCUACGGGAGGCAGCAGUGGGGAAUAUUGGACAAUGGGGUCAAUCCUGAUCCAGCCAGGCCGCGUGAGUGAUGACGGCGUUAGGGUUGUAAAGCUCUUUUCUCCGGGACGAUAAUGACGGUACCGGAGGAAUAAGCCCCGGCUAACUUCGUG
rnacentral:rRNA from 1 species